GAGGUGGGAGGAUUGCUUGAGCCUGGGAUUUUGAGUAUGUAGUGAGUUAUGAUCUCACCACUGCACUCCAGCCUGAGUGACAGAGCAAGACCUUGUCUCA
ensembl:miRNA